UGUUUCGGCUAGGGGGUCAUCCCGACUUACCAACCCGAUGCAAACUACGAAUACCGAAGAAUGUUAUCACGGGAGACACACGGCGGGUGCUAACGUCCGUCGUGAAGAGGGAAACAACCCAGACCGCCAGCUAAGGUCCCAAAGUCACAGUUAAGUGGGAAACGAUGUGGGAAGGCUCAGACAGCCAGGAUGUUGGCUUAGAAGCAGCCAUCAUUUAAAGAAAGCGUAAUAGCUCACUGGUCGAGUCGGCCUGCGCGGAAGAUGUAACGGGGCUAAACUGUGCACCGAAGCUGCGGCAGCGACACUAUGUGUUGUUGGGUAGGGGAGCGUUCUGUAAGCCGUUGAAGGUGGCCUGUGAGGGUUGCUGGAGGUAUCAGAAGUGCGAAUGCUGACAUAAGUAACGAUAAUGCGGGUGAAAAACCCGCACGCCGGAAGACCAAGGGUUCCUGUCCAACGUUAAUCGGGGCAGGGUGAGUCGACCCCUAAGGCGAGGCCGAAAGGCGUAGUCGAUGGGAAACAGGUUAAUAUUCCUGUACUUGGUGUUACUGCGAAGGGGGGACGGAGAAGGCUAUGUUAGCCGGGCGACGGUUGUCCCGGUU
rnacentral:rRNA from 1 species